rnacentral:misc_RNA from 1 species
UGAUUUGGGUUUUCACUCCUAGCGUUUAUUAUAAAUUGUGAGGUUUUCUCAAAGAGCAUAGACUAACAUAAAAAUUAGAUGAAUUGUUGAGUUUAUUUUGGCCGAAUUUCUAUGUAAGCCAUUUUUAUACACUUUAUCUUGGGAAUUGCAAAAAAGUAGCUUCAAAAGCCAAUCCUGCCUUUGCUAAGCUUCUGUUUACAUUAGUCUAAUCGACAGAUCAGUGCACUUGCAAUAAUGCUACUGCUAUUGUUAGAUGUGAAUGAUGCAAAUUUGUGGGAAACUUGAAAUUCUUUUUAAAACAUUUAUUGCAGGGAAAUACACUCCUCAGUACAAA